rnacentral:lncRNA from 1 species
AAAUGUUCACAUCUUAUUUGAAUUUCAGAAGUGACUUUUUAGCACAUUGAGUGCUUGGCAAGAUAGCUUGAAGUCUAUCCAACAGGAAUCACACCGACCCUCCCUUUGUGCCAGCUCCUUCUGUUAUGCCAGUACAAGGUGAUUCUGUGUUCCACUUUGGAGUGUCCAAUUAUUUUCUUACGUCUACUUCAUUGGCUUGCUACAGAGCAGGGGGCUUUAACAUCAGCAUCUCCAAAGUGGUCCCCUUCCUUGGGAGUUGAAUUGCAAUGUAAAUGGAAGGAGCCAGCUACUGUCUUAUUGGCCUUUGAUAAAGGAAACAGCUUGUUCAAGUCCAACCAUUUUGUUUGUUUGCAUGUUCUGCAACUGCACAGCUUGGACAAUAUCACCAGUUUAAUUUCAGCAGGCCCUGUGUCCCAGCAGCUCUUGCUAUCAGUUUUCUGGAUAUGGCAGAAAAAGAGCCCAGAUCUUAUUAGCACUGGAGCUAGGAAGUGGUGUUACCACGAGACAGAGGAGAUUACCAUGCUGUGCUGUAAACCUUGUCAUGAAAAUUCUGCAAAGGAGUAG